rnacentral:rRNA from 1 species
GACGGAGGAGGCAAGCGUUAUCCGGAAUUAUUGGGCGUAAAGCGUACGCAGGUGGAUCGACAAGUCUUUUGUCAAAGACCAGGGCUCAACCCUGGGAAGGCAGGGGAAACUGUUAAUCUAGAGUGCGGUAGGGGCAGGAGGAAUUCCCGGUGUAGCGGUGAAAUGCGUAGAUAUCGGGAAGAACACCAGCGGCGAAAGCGUCCUGCUAGACCGUAACUGACACUCAUGUACGAAAGCUAGGGGAGCGAAUGGG